rnacentral:lncRNA from 1 species
ACAGGCCCAUUUUGACCUAACCCAUUUCAGCCCAACCUACCUAAGCCCAAUUACAAGGCGGACCCAAUAGCCCCAGACCUACUACCCAACUCACCACAAACCCAAUGGCCCAGGCCCAAAAUAACCCUAGCCCAAACCCAAAACAGAAAGAAAACAAAAAAUUUUCAAACCCUAGGCGCCGUACCUAGGGCCUUCUACCGCCGCACCUAGCCCACUUGCCCUGCCACCGCCGCCUCUAACCAGCACCGCUAUGGUCACGUCGCCGGAUCACCACUUGCGCCUGCAAAAUCAGAAAAGAAGCGACAUAAAGCAAGAAAAAAUGAAUAAAAAAAUAUGUAAAAAA